UAACCAGAAAGCCACGGCUAACUACGUGCCAGCAGCCGCGGUAAUACGUAGGUGGCAAGCGUUGUCCGGAAUUAUUGGGCGUAAAGGGCUCGCAGGCGGUUUCUUAAGUAUGAUGUGAAAGCGCCCGGCUCAACCGGGGAGGGUCAUUGGAAACUGGGAAACUUGAGUGCAGAAGAGGAGAGUGGAAUUCCACGUGUAGCGGUGAAAUGCGUAGAGAUGUGGAGGAACACCAGUGGCGAAGGCGACUCUCUGGUCUGUAACUGACGCUGAGGAGCGAAAGCGUGGGGAGCGAACAGGAUUAGAUACCCUGGUAGUCCACGCCGUAAACGAUGAGUGCUAAGUGUUAGGGGGUUUCCGCCCCUUAGUGCUGCAGCUAACGCAUUAAGCACUCCGCCUGGGGAGUACGGUCGCAAGACUGAAACUCAAAGGAAUUGACGGGGGCCCGCACAAGCGGUGGAGCAUGUGGUUUAAUUCGAAGCAACGCGAAGAACCUUACCAGGUCUUGACAUCCUCUGACAACCCUAGAGAUAGGGCUUUCCCUUCGGGGACAGAGUGACAGGUGGUGCAUGGUUGUCGUCAGCUCGUGUCGUGAGAUGUUGGGUUAAGUCCCGCAACGAGCGCAACCCUUGAUCUUAGUUGCCAGCAUUCAG
rnacentral:rRNA from 1 species